GCUUCUUCAUCUUCUGAGCUUCAUCAUCAUUCCUUCUUCUUUCUUCCUCCCUUGGAUCUGCGAAAAACGUACGGUGAGUUUCGAGCUUCGACAAUAGUAGCUCCGGCAGCGGCGGUGACGACUUCAGGCUUCGUACUUCUCCGACUGCAUUUGCGGUGCGACCUUCAGAUCUGCGACCAUAGUACGACGAGCUUUCGACGACCAACGUACUCCAGCUAGCUAGCUUAUUCCUUCUUCUUCUUUGGAUUUACGACCAACGUACUCAUAUUCUCUUCACUCUUCGAAGAAGAAAGCCCGAAGUUGCUCGAAAGCUCGGCUAUUCCACCAGAUCUGAUCUCACACCGUCGUUCCACCACCGCCACCGCUCCAUCGAAGAAGAAGAAGAAGAAACUCCGGAGUAGCGCAAAAGCUCAGCCAUUCCACCAGAUCUGAUCUCACGUCGUUGUUCCGCCACUGCCACACGGUCGCCGCUCCAUCGAAGAAGAAAGCUCGGCCGCCAGAUCUGAGCUCUCAAGAGGAUGGGCUCGAGUGGCUCCCUCUUCUAGCUGCGGUUUCCGUGUAUAAUUCUCCCAGAAGGAUGAACUCGAAGAAAUCUUCAAUCUGCACAGUGGGGCAGCACUCCAUUCCUUAACUUUCCUCUUCCGCACUUCUAUUCGGUCAAAUGGGAGGAUGUAGAAAUAAAAAAUCCCAGUGAGAAGUGCCCAAAAAUUUCUCUCUUGCUCAACAAAAAAUUGCACAAAAGUUCUACUCUUUCCAGUUUAGUUCAGGUUGUUUUCCUGAAAUCUUGAAGACACGGGGGAUUUAAUAUAUUGACAGAGGAAGGAGAAGCAAUUUCUGUCGCCAGUGGGCAGCAAGGAUGCUAUAAGAUUCCCUAAAGAAAAUGGAAAUAGCAAGGAAAAAGGUGUUAUACUUGAAAAACUCAAGCACUCAAAGAGUCAAAGGGGGAAGAACAUGGCGAUAGAGGUAGUGGUUGUGAUGAAAAGCUGUGAUUUCUAGCAUAGAAGAGAAGAAAUGUGUUUGAAGGUGUCAAGUCCAUCACCCCAAGGGCAAACUAUAUUAAGAGAACCCUAGCUGGAGAAUAUCUCACAUCUGCCUUAAAUGAUUUUGGUCCUGAACAAUAUGACAGCCUUGCUGGCUGCUGCUAUAUCUGAUGGAGCAAACAAGCUUUUAAUGUUGGUAUGGUUAUUUUACUCUAUCAUAUACUCAUUUAGUAAUUUUGACUAAAGUAUGUGUUCCAACUCCAAUUAAAGUUUAAGCUAUUUGUAAGAAUACACAUGUCACAGCAUUAUCUUGUUUAGAGUAAGUAAUCUUUAAUUGUAGUUUUAGAUCAAGAAUGAAGUGUUCCAUUCUUAAUGAAUCUCAUCAUUUUUUAAAAAUAU